rnacentral:rRNA from 1 species
CCUACGGGUGGCAGCAGUGGGGAAUAUUGCACAAUGGGGGAAACCCUGAUGCAGCGACGCCGCGUGAGUGAAGAAGUAUCUCGGUAUGUAAAGCUCUAUCAGCAGGGAAGAAAAUGACGGUACCUGACUAAGAAGCCACGGCUAACUACGUGCCAGCAGCCGCGGUAAUACGUAGGGGGCAAGCGUUAUCCGGAUUUACUGGGUGUAAAGGGGGCGUAGACGGUGCAGCAAGUCUGAUGUGAAAGGUCGGGGGCCAACCCCGGGACUGCAGUGGAAACUGUUGAACUGGAGUACAGGAGAGGUAAGCGGAAUUCCUGGUGUAGCGGUGAAAUGCGUAGAUAUUAGGAGGAACACCAGUGGCGAAGGCGGCUUACUGGACUGUAACUGACGUUGAGGCUCGAAAGCGUGGGGAGCAAACAGGAUUAGAUACCCCUGUAGUC